rnacentral:rRNA from 1 species
CCUACGGGUGGCAGCAGUGAGGAAUAUUGGUCAAUGGGCGGAAGCCUGAACCAGCCAAGUAGCGUGCGGGAUGAAGGCCCUACGGGUCGUAAACCGCUUUUGCACGGGGAUAACACCCUCCACUUGUGGAGGUCUGCAGGUACCGUGCGAAUAAGGGCCGACUAAUUCCGUGCCAGCAGCCGCGGUAAUACGGAAGGCCCGAGCGUUAUCCGGAUUUAUUGGGUUUAAAGGGUGCGCAGGCGGUCUGUUAAGUCAGCGGUCAAAGCCCGGGGCUCAACCCCGGCCCGCCGUUGAAACUGGCAGUCUCGAGUUGGAGAGAAGUAUGCGGAAUGCGCGGUGUAGCGGUGAAAUGCAUAGAUAUCGCGCAGAACUCCGAUUGCGAAGGCAGCAUGCCGGCUCCACACUGACGCUGAGGCACGAAAGCGUGGGUAUCGAACAGGAUUAGAUACCCUAGUAGUC